GUGCUCACUUCAGCAGCACAUAUACUAAAAUUGGAAUGAUGCAGAGAAAUUAGCAUGGCCCCUGUGCAAGGAUUACAUGCAAAUUCAUGAAGCAUUCCAUAUUAAA